AGGGGGAGACCGGAUCCUGGGCUGUGUCCCGGCCCCCUGUGCUCCGGAGCCUGCGCUGUUGGAUUCGCGCUCCCAGCAGCGCAGCCCCCU
rfam:Canis lupus familiaris chromosome X, whole genome shotgun sequence.